rnacentral:rRNA from 1 species
GACAGAGGUUGCAAACGUUGUUCGGAAUCACUGGGCAUAAAGCGCACGUAGGCGGUCUGUUAAGUCAGGUGUGAAAGCCCCCGGCUCAACCGGGGAACAGCAUCUGAUACUGGCAGACUCGAGGAUGGUAGGGGUGAGUGGAACUCCAGGUGGAGCGGUGAAAUGCGUAGAUAUCUGGAGGAACACCGGUGGCGAAAGCGGCUCACUGGACCAUAACUGACGCUGAGGUGCGAAAGCUAGGGUAGCAAACGGGG